AUUAUAGCGUACGACUGUACGCGCAAACCCAUUACUUCUCCUUGUAAGCUUUCUCUGGUUUCCUCCAACUCGCAGUUGGGUCUCAGUUUCUCCCUCGUUUCUCUCUGCAGAAAUCCAACCCAAUCCAACCCCAUCACCGAUCGACCCAAAUGGUUCAACCAGCCGCAACGCCGCCGAACCACCAAGCCACUCAACAAUUCCUCUCCUCAGUCCUCUCUCAACGCGGUCCCUCCUCCCUCCCUUACACCGAAGACACCAAAUGGCUAAUCCGUCAGCACCUUCUCUCCCUUAUCGCCAACUACCCUUCUCUCGAACCCAAAACCGCUACUUUCACCCACAACGAUGGUCGCUCGGUCAACCUCCUUCAAGCCGACGGCACCAUCCCCAUGCCGUUUCAGGGUGUCACUUACAACAUUCCGAUCAUCAUCUGGCUCAUGGACUCUUAUCCUCGCCACCCUCCUUGCGCCUACGUGAAUCCCACGCGCGAUAUGAUCAUCAAGCGCCCUCAUCCUCACGUUAACCCUUCUGGCUUAGUCUCUGUUCCUUAUUUGCAGAAUUGGAUCUACCCUAGCUCUAAUCUCGUCGAUCUAGUUCGCGAAUUGAGUGCGGUUUUUGGUCGUGAUCCUCCUCUCUAUUCCCAACGCCGCCCAAACCCUAAUCCUAGUCCUAGCCCUAGCCCCACCCCCAAUUUUGCUGCGAAUCCGUCCAGUAUAUCGCAUUCCUCGAGUUUCGGGUCAUUGGGUCCCUCUGGAGGACAUACUGGAUAUCCUCGUCCGAUGAAUAGGCCGUACCCCCCAUCGCCGUACGGUGGUAGUAGUAGUAGUAGUAGCGGUGUUGUGCCAGGGCGGCAGCAAACGGAGGAUGCUGCAGAGGUUUAUAAGAGGAAUGCAAUCAAUAAGAUUGUGGAGACCGUUCAUGGGGACAUCAUGCAAUUGAGGAAGGCUAGGGAGGUGGAGAUGGAAGGUUUGUUCAGUGCGCAGGCUGUGUUGAAGAGGAGGGAAGAAGAGAUAAAUAAGGGACUUAUGGAGAUGCAAGAUGAGAAGGAGGGUUUGGAGGCGCAAUUACAAGUUGUAUUGAUGAAUACAGAUGUUUUAGAGGCGUGGGUGAGAGAGAACAAUGAGAAAACUAAAGUGAAUGCAGGGGAUUUGGAUGUGGAUAAUGUGUUUGAGUGCAUUGAUCCUCUAUCAAAGCAGAUGUUAGAGUGUACAGCAGCUGAUUUAGCAAUCGAGGACGUAGUUUAUUCCUUAGAUAAGGCAGUGCAGGAAGGGGCAGUGCCCUUUGAUCAGUACUUAAGGAAUGUAAGGUUGUUGUCAAGGGAGCAGUUUUUCCAUCGGGCUACUGCCACGAAAGUUAGGGCCGUGCAGAUGCAGGCUCAGGUUGCUAGUAUGGCUGCUAGAGCUCCACAUUAUGCUUCCUAAUCAUUAAAGGCGUUUGUGCUACAUCUGUUAGCAAUUGGAGGGAUAUUGUAAGAGAUAGUUUAAACGUUAAAUUCUUGUCAAGAACUAUUCUAAUACUUUUUCUUGUCUUUAUUUUUUUUUCCUUGCUGUUAAAUUGCUGCUUAUUGAUUUGUAUGGAUGGGAAAAUAAUACAAUUUUCUGUGAAUUAUAUUGCUAUCAUUCAGUAAAUUAUUUGUUGAAACUUACUGUUGCUUCAUUCCAAUUUCUACAUGAAUUUUGAAAUUGUGGUCAUACAGGGUUGAGUGUUGAGUUUAAUGGAUUUGGUUUUGGUUUUGGUUGGAGUAAUGUUUAAAAAACAAUGUAUGCUGUAUCCCUAGUUAUGCCUGUUGCAUUCUUAACUAGUGAUUAACUUAAUGUAGUUUGGCUUCUAUUUUGUUCUGGUAGAACAGUACUUGGUAUUAUUUAAUGGUGUUGCAAUUUGAGGAUAUUGAUUUUUGUGUUUAAAUCAUCAAGGAGUGGUACCAAAUAAGGGCAUCUUGAUUAUUGGCUUAUUUACGAUCUGCGUUUUAUGUGUUUGAUGCUAGUAUGGGAGAAAACAUAAUUUGAUCUUGUCAUCUGGAUAUUUGCAUGUAAGUGGUCUGUGGAUAUGUAUUGUAAUCUUGAUAAACAUAAUUUGAUCUUCUUGUAUGUAUUGGUCGGAGGAAAGAACAUAGUCGAAGGCAGAGAUUGAUUCUUUUUGUUGUAUCAAUGUUGAUGAUAAUUGCUAUCAGAUUUUGCUUUGGUGAUGCUGGGCCUGUCCAGGCUGAUUAAGAGCAUCCUCAAAGGUCUGCAGAUGUUCGGAUUUCAGUGCACGUAUGAUCAGAAUCAAAGGGUUUAAGUCAAAUCAUCUGGCUUCAGGACCUGCAUUAGUAAUGUAGAAGUCUUG
rnacentral:misc_RNA from 1 species